GGGCGCCAGCCACAGUCGAGCAAGCCGCGCGUCUGUUAGCUGAACGCGGCGUACACCUAUCGAUAGCGGCGUCCAAGCGCAUCACAGCACUAACGGCGCUAUACGAGUUAGCCGGGGGAGAACUAUUAGCGGCGCAACAAAGGAACUAUGCUAAGGACCCGCGCCACCUAGUCCUGCUUCGCGGAUACAGCUUGAAGGAGCGACCGCCAAGCCCCGCGCCGCCGCCCGUGCCAGACAUACAGGGGGAUGUGUACCCGCAAGGCAGGACCGGCACUCAAGUGGUGCGCCCCCCCGCGCCGCUAUUCCCCCGCGGCGCCCCUCGCGCGCCCAACUGGCCCGCGCCCGCGCGCCAGCCCAUAUACACCAACAACUCGGCGCUACUCACGCAGCUCGCACAGCCGUCCUACCCGCCGCC